rnacentral:rRNA from 1 species
GAUGAACGCUGGCGGCGUGCCUAAUACAUGCAAGUCGAGCGAACAGAUAAGGAGCUUGCUCCUUUGACGUUAGCGGCGGACGGGUGAGUAACACGUGGGUAACCUACCUAUAAGACUGGAAUAACUCCGGGAAACCGGGGCUAAUGCCGGAUAACAUUUAGAACCGCAUGGUUCUAAAGUGAAAGAUGGUUUUGCUAUCACUUAUAGAUGGACCCGCGCCGUAUUAGCUAGUUGGUAAGGUAACGGCUUACCAAGGCAACGAUACGUAGCCGACCUGGAAGGGUGAUCGGCCACACUGGAACUGAGACACGGUCCAGACUCCUACGGGAGGCAGCAGUAGGGAAUCUUCCGCAAAGGGCGAAAGCCUGACGGAGCAACGCCGAGUGAGUGAUGAAGAUCUUCGGAUCGUAAAACUCUGUUAUUGGGGAAGAACAAAUGUGGAAGUAACUGUGCACGUCGUGACGGUACCUAAUAAGAAAGCCACGGCUAACUACGUG